ensembl:snRNA U6 U6 spliceosomal RNA
GUGCUCACUUCGGCAGCACAUAUACUAAAACUGGAACAAUACAGAGAAGAUUAGCAUGGCCCCUGCGCAAGGAUGAUACGCAAAUUCAUGAAGCAUUCCAUAUUUUU